rnacentral:rRNA from 1 species
AUUGAACGCUGGCGGCAUGCCUUACACAUGCAAGUCGAACGGCAGCACGGGUGCUUGCACCUGGUGGCGAGUGGCGAACGGGUGAGUAAUACAUCGGAACGUACCUUAUCGUGGGGGAUAACGCAGCGAAAGCUGUGCUAAUACCGCAUACGCCCUGAGGGGGAAAGCGGGGGAUCGCAAGACCUCGCGCGAUUAGAGCGGCCGAUGCCUGAUUAGCUUGUUGGUGGGGUAAAAGCCCACCAAGGCGACGAUCAGUAGCUGGUCAGAGAGGACGAUCAGCAACACUGGGACUGAGACACGGCCCAGACGCCUACGGGAGGCAGCAGUGGGGAAUUUUGGACAAUGGGGGCAACCCUGAUCCAGCCAUGCCGCGUGAGUGAAGAAGGCCUUCGGGUUGUAAAGCUCUUUUGUCAGGGAAGAAACACCGGCUCUAACACAGUCCGGGAAUGACGGUACCUGAAGAAUAAGCACCGGCUAACUACGUGCCAGCCGCCGCGGUAA